GCUUAGAGAGGGGUCAAUGUCCUAUCAGCUAGUUGGUAGGGUAACGGCCUACCAAGGCGAAGACGGGUAGCCGGCCUGAGAGGGUGGUCGGCCACACUGGGACUGAGACACUGCCCAGACUCCUACGGGAGGCUGCAGUCGAGAAUCUUUCGCAAUGCCCGAAAGGGUGACGAAGCGACGCCGCGUGGGAAGAAGGCCUUCGGGUUGUAAACCACUGUCGGGAGUUAGGAAAUGUAAGGGUGCUAAUAGUAUCCUUACUUGACUAAGGCUCCGGAGGAAACCACGGCUAACUCUGUGCCAGCAGCCGCGGUAAUACAGAGGCGGCAAGCGUUGUUCGGAAUUAUUGGGCGUAAAGAGCACGUAGGCGGCUUUGUAAGUCAGUUGUGAAAGCCUUCUGCUUAACGGAAGAACAGCAUCUGAUACUGCAAGGCUAGAGUGCGGAAGGG
rnacentral:rRNA from 1 species